AGCGAACGCUGGCGGCAGGCCUAACACAUGCAAGUCGAACGGAUCCUUCGGGAUUAGUGGCGGACGGGUGAGUAACACGUGGGAACGUGCCCUUUGGUUCGGAACAACUCAGGGAAACUUGAGCUAAUACCGGAUGUGCCCUUCGGGGGAAAGAUUUAUCGCCAUUGGAGCGGCCCGCGCCUGAUUAGCUAGUUGGUGAGGUAAAGGCUCACCAAGGCGACGAUCAGUAGCUGGUCUGAGAGGAUGAUCAGCCACAUUGGGACUGAGACACGGCCCAAACUCCUACGGGAGGCAGCAGUGGGGAAUCUUGCGCAAUUGGCGAAAGCCUGACGCAGCCAUGCCGCGUGAAUGAUGAAGGUCUUAGGAUUGUAAAAUUCUUUCACCGGGGACGAUAAUGACGGUACCCGGAGAAGAAGCCCCGGCUAACUUCGUGCCAGCAGCCGCGGUAAGAC
rnacentral:rRNA from 1 species